rnacentral:tRNA from 1 species
GGGUGUAUAGCUCAGUGGUAGAGCAAUCGACUGCAGAUCGAUAGGUCCAUGGUUCAACUCCGUGUGCGCCCU